rnacentral:rRNA from 1 species
AACGAACGCUGGCGGCAGGCUUAACACAUGCAAGUCGAACGCGUGUAGCAAUACACGAGUGGCACACGGGUGAGUAACGCGUGGAUAUCUGCCUAUUGGUUCGGAACAACUCCGGGAAACUGGACCUAAUACCGGAUGGUUCCUUCAGGAUACAGAUUUAUCGCCAAAAGAUGAGGCCGCGUACGAUUAGCUAGUUGGUGUGGUAAUGGCUCACCAAGGCGACGAUCGUUAGCUAGUCUUAGAGGACGAUCAGCCACACUGGGACUGAGACACGGCCCAUACUCCUACUGGAGGCAGCAGUGUGGAAUAUUGGACAAUGGGGGCAACCCUGAUCCAGCCAUGCCGCGUGAGUGAUGAAGGCCUUCGGGUUGUAAAGCUCUUUUGGCGGGGACGAUGAUGACGGUACCCGCAGAAUAAGCCCCGGCUAACUUCGUGCCAGCAGCCGCAGUAAGAC